rnacentral:rRNA from 1 species
AGCAGCUCACUGGGUGUAAAGCGUGCGCAGGCGGUUUUGUAAGACAGAGUGAAAUCCCCGGGCUCAACCUGGGAACUGCCUUUGUGACUGCAAGGCUGGAGUACGGCAGAGGGGGAUGGAAUUCCGCGUGUAGCAGUGAAAUGCGUAGAUAUGCGGAGGAACACCGAUGGCGAAGGCAAUCCCCUGGGCCUGUACUGACGCUCAUGCACGAAAGCGUGGGGAGCAAACA